GAUGAACGCUGGCGGCGUGCUUAACACAUGCAAGUCGAACGAUGAAGCCCAGCUUGCUGGGUGGAUUAGUGGCGAACGGGUGAGUAACACGUGAGUAACCUGCCCUUAACUCUGGGAUAAGCCUGGGAAACUGGGUCUAAUACCGGAUAGGAGCGUCCACCGCAUGGUGGGUGUUGGAGAGAUUUAUCGGUUUUGGAUGGACUCGCGGCCUAUCAGCUUGUUGGUGUGGUAUUGGCUCACCAAGGCGACGACGGGUAGCCGGCCUGAGAGGGUGACCGGCCACACUGGGACUGAGACACGGCCCAGACUCCUACGGGAGGCAGCAGUGGGGAAUAUUGCACAAUGGGCGCAAGCCUGAUGCAGCGACGCCGCGUGAGGGAUGAUGGCCUUCGGGUUGUAAACCUCUUUCAGUAGGGAAGAAGCGAAAGUGACGGUACCUGCAGAAGAAGCACCGGCUAACUACGUG
rnacentral:rRNA from 1 species